rnacentral:snRNA from 1 species
GUGCUUGCUUAGCAGUACAUAAUAUUAAAUUGGAACAAUACAGAAAGAUUACCAUGGCCUUGGUACAAGAAUGGCACAAAAACAUAAAGUAUUUCAUU